CAGUAGCCGCGGUAAUACGAACCGUGCGAACGUUAUUCGGAAUCACUGGGCUUAAAGCGCGUGUAGGCGGGAGGGCACGUCCGUCGCUGAAAUCCCCCGGCUCAACCGGGGAACGGGCGCGGAUACGACUCUUCUGGAGGAACGUAGGGGGACCUGGAACUUCCGGUGGAGCGGUGAAAUGCGUUGAGAUCGGAAGGAACGCCCGUGGCGAAAGCGAGGUCCUGGACGUUUACUGACGCUGAGACGCGAAAGCCAGGGGAGCGAACGGGAUUAGAUACCCCGGUAGUCCCUGUCUCUUAUA
rnacentral:rRNA from 1 species